rnacentral:lncRNA from 1 species
AGGAAGUGUUUUGGCCAAUGGUUACAUUCAUGGUGUUUUACACACAAAAAAUGGAUAUAGGCUCAAAGGGGGUUAACGAGGGAUAUAAUAAUUCAGGAUGGCUAGAAAGGUCGGGGUUAAUUACAAACAACGUGCCUUAGUGUGUGUAUCAUGCAGUGACAGUCCCAGAGAGUCUACGCAAAUUUAGAGUGAUAAAGACAAACCUGAAUGACGCUCAUGAUGAUUAAUGUGUUU